GACGAACGCUGGCGGCGUGCUUAACACAUGCAAGUCGAACGGUGAAGCUCCAGCUUGCUGGAGUGGAUCAGUGGCGAACGGGUGAGUAACACGUGAGCAACCUGCCCCUGACUCUGGAAUAAGCGCUGGAAACGGCGUCUAGUACUGGAUACGAGAAGGGUCCGCAUGGGCACUUUCUGGAAAGUUUUUCGGUUGGGGAUGGGCUCGCGGCCUAUCAGCUUGUUGGUGAGGUAAUGGCUCACCAAGGCGACGACGGGUAGCCGGCCUGAGAGGGCGACCGGCCACACUGGGACUGAGACACGGCCCAGACUCCUACGGGAGGCAGCAGUGGGGAAUAUUGCACAAUGGGCGAAAGCCUGAUGCAGCGACGCCGCGUGAGGGAUGACGGCCUUCGGGUUGUAAACCUCUUUCAGCAGGGAAGAAGCGAAAGUGACGGUACCUGCAGAAGAAGCACCGGCUAACUACGUG
rnacentral:rRNA from 1 species